UACAGAGGUCUCAAGCGUUGUUCGGAUUCAUUGGGCGUAAAGGGUGCGUAGGUGGCGCUGUAAGUCGGGUGUGAAAUUUCGGAGCUUAACUCCGAAACUGCAUUCGAUACUGCGGUGCUUGAGGACUGGAGAGGAGACUGGGAAUUCAUGGUGUAGCAGUGAAAUGCGUAGAGAUCAUGAGGAAGACCAGUGGCGAAGGCGGGUCGUCUGGACAGUUCCUGACACUGAGGCACGAAGGCCAGGGGAGCAAACGGG
rnacentral:rRNA from 1 species